GGCAAGGUCCGCCUGUGCGCCCGAGAGCGCCGCACACCGCCCCCUCCGGCCGGGCUCCGGAUCGGUCUUCGAGCGCAGUGCCUGGCCCUGGCGGGCCACGUCCGAUCCCCGGGCCCGCAGCGAGGGAGCGCGAAGGUCGGCCUUCAGUUCUGCAGAUGGGAGAUCGAGGGGUCCACAUGGAUACAGAUGGCCUCUAGGAGCUGACAUUGGCUCCUGGUGACAGGCAGCAAGGAAAUAGGGACCUCAGUCCUCCAGUCACAAAAAAGGGCCUGAAUUCUGCUAACAACCCAAAUGAACUUGGAAGAGGAUCCUGAGCUUCAGCACCUACACCGUAACUUCAGCCUGUGAGGCCCUCAGCAGAAAACCCAGCUACACCGGGCCCAGAUUUAAGACUAGCACAACUGUGAGCUGGAAGUCAAAGAAGUGUCUUUCACAUACACACAAUCGCAAGCAUCUAUGAUGGAGUCAAGAGACUGAAGAUCUUGAAACAUGGAGGUCUGCAGUCCCUGUUGUUUCUAUUAAUGGAAACAUGGUUCUAUUUUAAGCCAAAUUGAUCUUCUGAUUGUAGAAUUGCAGCAAAUACUCAGAAGGCCUUGCAAACAAAAGAGUAAACACAUGGAGAACUGGUCCCUCUGCCAGAUUCAGCGAACACCAUUUUUAUAUCCUAAUUGCCGGGAAUGGGGACAGCUGCAUCAUUGUUUAAAACACACACUCAUGCACAAUUAAGCCAAGAAUAAAUGUCAACACUGGCACAAUCUGCUAAAUAACUGAUAACUGAUGGGCAUUACUCAUGCUGUGAGCGUUGUCUCCAAUAGAUAAUGGAAAGAUUCCUAUUUGGAAAAGAUCUUAGAGGUUUCUACUGGUUUAAGAAAGCUGGGUUUACCAAGGGGGAAAGGGGGGUGGUGGGAUGAAUUGGGAGAUUGGAAUUGACAUAUAUAUACUAUUGAUACUAUGUAUAAAAUAGAUACUAAUGAGAACCUACUGUAAAGCUCAGGGAACUCUACUCCGUGCUCUGCGGUGACCUAAAUGGGAAGGGAAUCCAAAAAAGGGGGGAUAUAUGUAUAUGUAUAGCUGAUUCACUUCUGUACAGUAGAAACUAACACAGCAUUGUAAAGCAACUAUACUCCAAUAAAAAAUUUUAAAAAAUACAUCCACUAUAAAAAAAAAAGUCCCUUAUCAGAUAUAUAAUUUGCAAAACUUUUCUCCUGUUGUAUGGGUUGUCUUUUUACUUUCUUGAUUUUUUUCCUUUAAAACAAAAGGUUUUUAAUUUUAAUGAAAAAAAAGAAAAGAAAGCUGGGUUUUAUAACAAACGGCACAACUGCAGCCUGCCAGAUUAUGUAAGUGGCAUUCCACCCAUGUGUUCAAGGAGUUUGUGACAAGAACAUGCCGUUCUUGUGCAUCUUUAUAUUUGUAUGAACAAGGCAGAUUUGUGGUUUGGGGACACUUUGUCUGGGAUGAAGGUGUCUUGUGGCCACUGACUAGAAAUGCCCAGGGAUGGCCUCAUAAUCCAGAGAGCCAGGGUUUGCCACUUGCAUGGGCAGC